UACGUAGGGGGCAAGCGUUGUCCGGAUUUAUUGGGCGUAAAGAGCGUGUGGGCGGCCAGGUAGGUCAGCUGUGAAAACUCGAGGCUCAACCUCGAGACGUCGGUUGAAACCACCUGGCUAGAGUCCGGAAGAGGAGAGUGGAAUUCCUGGUGUAGCGGUGAAAUGCGCAGAUAUCAGGAAGAACACCCGUGGCGAAGGCGGCUCUCUGGGACGGUACUGACGCUGAGACGCGAAAGCGUGGGGAGCGAACAGG
rnacentral:rRNA from 1 species